rnacentral:rRNA from 1 species
GAUGAACGCUGGCGGCGUGCCUAAUACAUGCAAGUCGAACGCAUAGCGAAAGGUGCUUGCACCUUUCAAGUGAGUGGCGAACGGGUGAGUAACACGUGGACAACCUGCCUCAAGGCUGGGGAUAACAUUUGGAAACAGAUGCUAAUACCGAAUAAAACUUAGUGUCGCAUGACACAAAGUUAAAAGGCGCUUCGGCGUCACCUAGAGAUGGAUCCGCGGUGCAUUAGUUAGUUGGUGGGGUAAAGGCCUACCAAGACAAAGAUGCAUAGCCGAGUUGAGAGACUGAUCGGCCACAUUGGGACUGAGACACGGCCCAAACUCCUACGGGAGGCUGCAGUAGGGAAUCUUCCACAAUGGGCGAAAGCCUGAUGGAGCAACGCCGCGUGUGUGAUGAAGGCUUUCGGGUCGUAAAGCACUGUUGUAUGGGAAGAACAGCUAGAAUAGGAAAUGAUUUUAGUUUGACGGUACCAGACCAGAAAGGGACGGCUAAAUACGUG